rnacentral:rRNA from 1 species
AAAUCACAACACUUUACAGUGGAUCACUUGGCUCGGGGGUCGAUGAAGAACGCAGCUAACUGCGCGUCGGAAUGUGAACUGCAGGACACACGAACAUCGACAUUUUGAACGCAUAUUGCGGACCGUGGUUUUUCUACUGUCCAUGUCUGGCUCAGGGUCGGUUAA